rnacentral:lncRNA from 1 species
CAUCCCUUGCUAUGAGAUACCCAGUGCCUCGAGACAACAGCAGCAUCAGUAAGAAGACCAUUAUCAGAUCUAGCCCAUAGCCUUGGACUUCCAGAAGGUUGUGAGAUAAGGUGCUAAACACUGGUUCCAAAGUUCACCUGCAAUAACGGCCAGCUAGUUAGCAGCAGACCUUGAACUCCUGCUCAUAUUUGAAGCAAAGUGCUCACUCGGAGCCAGGCACAGUGGGCUCAAAGGCACAUGCGCAGUGUUUGGUGGUACUGAAUAUCAAUGACGGUUCUGUAAAACUUACAACCAGAUCACAACCGUCUACACAGCUACAAGAUCAAGCCUUUGUGCAUAGUUGAUUAUCUGAGAGGAGAGCCAAGGCAUGGGUCAUCUUAAAUAAACCUGCUCCGAACACUCA